rnacentral:rRNA from 1 species
AUUGAACGCUGGCGGCAGGCCUAACACAUGCAAGUCGAACGGUAACAGGAAGCAGCUUGCUGCUUUGCUGACGAGUGGCGGACGGGUGAGUAAUGUCUGGGAAACUGCCUGAUGGAGGGGGAUAACUACUGGAAACGGUAGCUAAUACCGCAUAACGUCGCUAGACCAAAGAGGGGGACCUUAGGGCCUCUUGCCAUCGGAUGUGCCCAGAUGGGAUUAGCUAGUAGGUGGGGUAACGGCUCACCUAGGCGACGAUCCCUAGCUGGUCUGAGAGGAUGACCAGCCACACUGGAACUGAGACACGGUCCAGACUCCUACGGGAGGCAGCAGUGGGGAAUAUUGCACAAAGGGCGCAAGCCUGAUGCAGCCAUGCCGCGUGUAUGAAGAAGGCCUUCGGGUUGUAAAGUACUUUCAGCGGGGAGGAAGGGAGUAAAGUUAAUACCUUUGCUCAUUGACGUUACCCGCAGAAGAAGCACCGGCUAACUCCGUG